rfam:Anaerosporobacter mobilis DSM 15930 genome assembly, contig: EJ17DRAFT_scaffold00007.7
GCACUUGUAGCUCAGUUGGAUAGAGCAUAGGCCUCCGACGCCUAGGGUCGCAGGUUCGAAUCCUGUUAGGUGCA